UAGGUACCUAAGAAUCUAGGAUCCAUGGC
rnacentral:piRNA from 1 species